AAGCCGUCAGGUUUUAUGGAAUUUUUCAUGCCCUAGUUGAGCGCAGCGCAAGUUUUACACUUUUUUUUACCGCUGUGUGACCCAAUGAUAAUCGCGUUAAUAGGUUAAGUGCGCACCCCGACAAUUGACCUUCGACCUUGACUUCAAUUACGGAGUGCAAGUGCAGUUGAGCAACACCCGAAACUAUCUUUGAACUUGAACUUAGUAGGGUCUCGAUGGGCAAACGGCCAGAACCAUUUGGGAAUUAUAAAUGUGAAAGUAGAAAGUUAUCGUACUUUCUAUUGCAUAUUUAAGGGGUUUAUGGUUCAUAUACUACAGACAUUCCCGUUCCAGGUAGCCACAUGAUAU
rnacentral:lncRNA from 1 species